CAGCUGUGCAUUCUCCAACACUGUUAUUAACACAAAGAUCUCGCCGAGUUUGGUGCAUUUUUCUACCCAGUUUGCCCAUGGAAGCUAAAGGAAUCCCCCGGCCCGGAUGCAUUCAGAAGGAGCAAUGUGGUUUUAUGCCUCAAAAAAUCAGUUCAUGAGUGUUGGUUGCUGUUUCUCAGUCAUUGACAUUUUCAAAAGCCUCUUUUAUAUGCUAUUGCUUGCUCCAGAACAGCCGCUCUGGUCUAGGAGAAGCCGCAGGGUAGCAUCAACAAUUUCUCCAGCAGCAUUUGGGAGUCCACCCAGCAAGGUGUUCAUCCUGGGGGCUCCCCAGGUACCUCGGCUCAAAAGUUUUGUUAUAAAGUCAGAGACUCUAUUUUGCCUUCUAGGCUCAGCCUCUGUCCCCUUUACAGGGGAGAGAGCGGGGGAAGGGGGAGGGAAGGAGGUAACUGAGUGGACUCUGCCAUAUUGCCAUAUUGGGAGGGAAUCUAUUGCUCAGAAAAGAUCCAACAGCCAGGCGCUGGCCAGUACGGGAAGCGCCAACAGCGACCCCUCCUGGUAACCUAAACAAGUCACAGGUUGCAAACCCUGCAGCGAGUCGUCAGUGAAGACUAAUUUGACUUCGUUCUGCUUUCAUUCAUUCUGCAAGCAUUUACACACGAAUGUAUAAAAACCAAGCUCUACCCUCCAGCUGUUCAAAAAAUAAUAAGGGUGAUAAACAUGUAAAGCAGUAAUAGAGUUACAAGGAGAGGGUGGUAGGGCCCAUAGAGAGAUCCAUGCUGCCCAACAAGCACAGGAAACUGUUUCUAAAAGUAAAAUAAAGAUUUACUAAGCAGAGGAAAAGAGAAUCCAAGGUCGAAAAAAUAGCAGGUGCAAAGGCCCUGAGGCACACAACAGCAUAGCACACUGAGAGACCUGAAGGUUGCUUGGGAUAUCUAGACUGCCCAGGGCUACAGGAGACAGCCCUCAGGAGCUGGGCAAGGGCUCUACUCAGCUAUCCUGGAAAGUACUGCGCCUCUUCCCAUAGACUAGAGGUCUCCAAACUUCCCUGAUCAUAUAUAUAUAUAUAUAUAUCCCCAUCCCUAAGAAAGCAUCUGCUCAUCCCUAGUAUAUGUGUAGUUAUGAUUAAAUUAUAUACAGGUAUUGAUUUCAAGCUGCAUAAUAACUACUAAUAAUGUUCAUUUUAUUUCUUACCUUUUCAAUCAAAAUUUUUAAUGAAAGUUCUAGUAUUUUCUUUCCUUGCUACAAUGGAUCAUUGACAGUGCAAAUACCUCAAAAUUAAUGCAUCCAUGGAAGCCCAAGAUCUGCCCCAGAGAUUCUUGCUAUCCACCUCAGUAAGGCAUCUGUGCUUCCACUCCCUCGUGCAACUAGAAGCUUGAUCACUUUCCAAGAGUUCAUACCAAAUUAGGGCAGAAACAGGUGAAGUGCAACUACAGCAAGCGCCAAAGCAGUCCUAACCAGUGGGUCAGCAGACGUGUCCCCUACGUCCUACACAGCCUCCGCCCACAGGGGAAACCUGGUCCUGCACUUUGUAACAUCUUUUUUCUCCUGUCUUGAAGUGAACCCAUUCAUGACCCAAAAGUCAACACACCUGAGAGUGUAUACAAUAGGUUCUAGAGUCUAGAGCAUGGCCAGAAAUACAAUAAGAGCACCCAGAGGUCAAACUAACACAGUGUAUAUAGGUCAAUUAAUAUGAAAUAAUAAGAAGACUGAGUUGUGUAGCAUAAAUAAAAGAACAUAUAAGUCACAAUAGAGCCAGAAUCUAAUUUAUACUUGCCAAUUGUCUACUAAAUGCAGUUUUCCAUAGAUUCUUUAUGAAUUCCCACAACACACACACACACACACACACACACACACACACACACCCCUUAACUACUAUCCAUACAAUUCCAGAGUGAUCAGGAACCCAUAUUGGAUGCCCACAAAAUACAUGAUAGAUCAGCUACUGCUAGACGCCAUGAGUUAUGUAGAUACCUAUCUUUGCAAAACUUAGUCCUGGGACUAGAAUUUGUACUUAGGUCAUUGGAAAUAGUGCAGUCCUUGAGAUUCUAGAAAUGGCUAGGAGAAUCAGGAUGCCUUAUGCUGCCACAAUUCACCUCUCCAUACAACCAUCCAUCCAUUAAUCCAUCCAACAAAUACUUAUUGAAUACCUCCUAGGUGUCAGGCAUUCACACACAGUAUUUAUAGUCACAAUUGGAUGGGACACAUUUUCACCUCGUAUUAAAAUGUUACUUACCAGACAGUAGUAGGAGAUGGAGAUCUAAAAUGAUUGCACAAACUAACUGUACUUCGGACAGAAACUUAAUCCCUGAUCAGUGCUCUGUUUACAGCAGGUGUUCAAAAUGUCUUUUUGAAUCAAACUGUCAUAUUAUGUCCAUUUCUACUUGGGAAAUAUGGUAAAAAUCUUAUUUAUUUGGAAAUGAUCAUAACCCAGAUGCUAUCUGAACUAGCCCUCCUUUUUUAAAGAAAUGCUUUUUAUUUUAUAGAUCAUAUAAAUGAACAUGUAUAAAUUAGAUGUUAAAAAUACUUCGGAACAAGUUGCUUCCAAUAGUUUUGUAAAACACCUUUGCCUACAAAUAAUGGAUGUGAAAUCACACACCAAUUGAUUUAAUCAUGUCUCCUAAAGACCUUUAGAGUCACAGCCCAGCUUUCAUUACAGAACAUCCAUGGGAGUAAGAAUAGUACAUUCCCAUAAAAAAUUUCUAUGGUUCAAAGUAUUCACUAGUUAAUCUGGCCGCCCCUUCACCACUACCACCAUUUAGUUUGAAUUAAUGAGGAUAGAUUCACUAAUGAAAGCCAAGAAUUUUCUUCAGUCUGAUGAGACAAUACAGUCACGGGGAGUAGUUCCAUAAAAUAAUUUCCCUGGCAUAUGCUGAGAAGCUGGAAGUGCUAAAAAGUGGUGGUGCCUGGCUCAAGGCUUGUGAUCAGAAGGGGGUGAAAUUACGUUAGAACUGAGAGUUUUUCACUUUAAAAGGCAUAAAGAAGCAGCACUCAUUUUUUUCAUAUCAAAAGAAGUCUUGAAAAAUGAAAUUAAAGGCCUGAAAAUCUUUUAAAAAUCUGUCAUUAUCUCUGGAGCAAUGCAAAAGUUAAAAAUUUGCAUAUGCAGGAAUCAAAACAUGUACACAAAAUAUGUUUGCUGAUAAAGAUUGUAUAUGUGCAAUGCAUAGUUUACCUUUAAAAUGGUGGCUUCAACUGGUAACCACAUAGAUUUUCUAUGAAACUGUAUAAAAUGGGUUUACUGGCUGCUUAAACAUCUUGAAACUUCAUUCAUGUAGACAGGCAGCACAGUUCAGUCAAAAAAACAAACCUGUCUUGAAGUCUGGAGGCUCAGACCCUAGAUCCAGCGCCAUGACUAGCCACUAAGGUGACUAUAGGCAAUUCGUUUGACCCAGUUAGACUUCAGUGAGCCUCACGGGAAAAUAAAGUUUCGAUUGGCUUGGCCCUCACGGAUUCUGUCAGUGCCAAAAUUGUUAAACUCCACGUAGGAAGUAUUUGCUAUGGCCAUCAAAGGAAAGUUGCGUAUGAAAGCAAGUGCUUCCAAAAAUAGACAUAAAAAGAAUUUUAAAAAAUUUGGAUUGAAGAGGGAAAAACAUAGUUUUCUUUAAAGCGCGUGCAAACACACACAGACACACACACACACACGCACGCAAGCCUCUAUGAUGUCCACUUUGUAAGACCCAGCAGUUCUGCUUUUCCCCAGUUGAAUAAAACGUGGUUUUGCAGGCAUGCAGAUCACAUUGCAUUUGUGCACUCUGCACAAGGCUAUUGGCUUUAGACAGCCCUUAAUUCUAAUUAAUACAAGUCCAGCUCAAUCAGUGGGUGGAGGAAGAAAGACUAGAAAUGAAGAAAGAAAAUGAGACAUCAGCACGAAUGCCUAUCAUAUUGUGAAUAUCUGUUCAUCUGCAUAAUAUUAAUGAUACCAAAUAUGCAAACAGAUGUUUCUCUCAUUAAAUUAUAUAUGCAAAUACUACUAGUAGGAGUGGUAAUGUCUCGGGGUUGAGAGAUCACUGAGGGUAAUUAAAGGUUAAUCCAGUUUUCAGUUCAGAGACUACACAAGAGUGGUUGGAAAGAAAAAUUGUCACUUAACCUUCAAUUCAUUACAAAUGGCACAUGGAUUUUUACUAAAAUAACAAAAACAUAUAUCUGCUAAUCAUUUCCCUUCACCUCCACUGUGGUCGACCUCCAGCAACCAUCAGCAAAGACUUCUUAUAAGUUGAGCAAAGUUGACUGUUGCCAUGCAGAACAUUAAUAAAAAAAUUAUAUUUCCUCCAGAAGUACAUAGAACCCAUCUAGAGUCAUAAUCUCUGAAUCCUAAUAGAAAAAAGUCUGAAGUGCUUACAUCACUACCCCUUGAGUAUAAUUGUUUUAGAUACUGAACGUGAGAUAUUGAAUGAAGGCUGCAAUGACUUGACCAAGAUCGCACUGUUUUUCUUAUGAGAUGAAUUGAAAAUGGUAAAUGGCUUUGGAACAUUUUUUGAUAGAAAAGUUUAACUCACCAACUGCUGUAUUUCCACUUCACAUAUUGAAGGCGGGAAAACAUUCAGCGAUAAAGAUCAUAAAAGUUCAGAAUUGGCAAGUCUACGAGAAGAAACACAAGGUCAGUGUAAAUUCUAUAUUUGCAAGAAGAGUUGGAGAACAGCACAGGGAGAAAAGGUUUUCCUGCAUUUGUGGAAUAAUAAAAGAGGAUUUCUUUCCUGAUCGAUAGUUACAAAGAGCUUACCUUUGGUUUAGUGGGAAUCAAGUUCUAAAAGGGUAAUCUCCCCUCCCUUUACUUCUUUAGCCCUUGAUUCUACUACAAAUGCACAGCUAUUCACUCGGUGUAAAGAUCCACGCAGAGCUAGCAAGCAGAAUGCCUGAAGUCUCCACGCUCCUGUAAAUGUAAAGUGUCCCCUCUGCUCUGACCAGUCGGAGAUGCUGAUCAAAAUGAAAUUAGAAGUUUCAUAGGCAAACAGAUCCCUAACAUUUAAUCCUCAUUAUUCACUGGGGAUUUUUAGCUAAACCCAGAUUUAAUUUUAGUUCUUGUGCCACCAGAAAAAUCAAAGCUCCUUUCCAAGUUGCCAUUCUACAUGAAAUCUAAAUGAAAAUCUUGGAAAUAAAACUAAAGGCCUUUUUUUUUUUUUUUUGCUCCUGUUUUUUCAUAGGAAACAGUGCUGGUUUAAGAUGCUAAAAAAUUGCCUUGGGAAAGGCAUAUUUCUCAAGAAAAUGGGCUAGGUUUAACUUUCCCAAAACAUCUUUUUCCUAGAAUUCUUUAAAUCCUCACUUAUUGGAAAACCCAAAACAGAAGGUAGCCACUAAUGUCCCAAACAGAAUAGGGAAAUGUCUUACAAUACAGGGGGUUUUCUUGUUUGCACAAUACCAAACAAUUUAACUUCUUUUUUCCCCACUACUUCAUUUACUGAUUUUUCCCCCAGCUCUGCCAAACUGCUAUUUGAUCUCCAACCAGGAAGUGGGUUUGCUAAGUUUGCAAGGGAGGAAGGAAGAUAGCCUGUCCUUCCCCACUGCUAGUAACAGAAAAGACCUAAUUGAAUUCUCUUCCUAUUUGACUAGCUAUCUCUUAGCAGGAAGAGAAGGAACAGGGUGUUUUCCAGGUCUGAGCUUAAAAUGAGAGGGUGAGGAAUAGUUAAGGCACUGCCUGAGUUACUAGUACGUAAUAUAUGCAUUAUUCCCUGGGUACAUAUUAAAAGAUCUGAUCGCCUGCCCUCUUGCAGCUAAUUCUGGGUAACAUUUGGAGAUCUCCAGCCCUACUCUCGGGAGGCUCUUUUGAAAUAACAUGGCCCUGUGCUUCUCUACUUAAGUAAUUGAGUGGUAAGAAUGAUUAUUACACAUUAGGAAGAAGCCACAUUUCCCCAGUGUGAAGCAGCCCGCCCUUAGCGGCACACAUCUCAGAAUAGCAGGUGGGUGGGGUUGAGGCUGAAUUUGGGAAGCUAGAUUUUGGUUAGAAAACUUCUUACAGGGCCAAUUUAUUUUGCUAAAUGCAACAGAAACCCAAUUCCCACAGAGUGGAGGCCUUUCAUUUUGAGUGAUUCCUGGCUCCUUUCCCCGGUGCCCUAAAAUACAAGGGCUGUUUGUGGUUGAUUUAGGCCAUGUCAGUGACCCGAACCUCGUUCCGACUCAUCUCGCCGACCAUCUCAGGUUAGCGCCGGUCCUGGCUUGAGAGGGCGUGAUGAGUCUGCUGCAUCGGGAGCUCCACUGGGCAGGACCGUGAAGACAAGCAACACAGCGAGAACGACCCACGGAAGGCGCCCAGCGGGGACAUCUCAGGCAAAGUGCCUUGGGACACAGUCUGAGGAGUGGCCACUCUGACUCCAGGAUGCCCCUCAGCCACUUUGAGCUUUGGUAUCUUCUGCUGCAAGACAGGAAAGCAAUAGUGCUGACCUUGUAAGACAGUUGAGAUGAUUCGAUAUGAUAAAUGUACACGUAGUGCUGAGCAUUCAAUGCCAAGUAAGCUAAAAAUGAUGGUGAUAAUUAGGAUUAAGAACAUCAGCCCGAAACACUGGUAUUCUAGGCCCUUGGAAACAGAUUCAGUUAGAGAAUGUCUCCAGAUGUUCCUACCGUGGCUGCUGCUUUAUCUCCACAGAACAGGGUUGGAUUUCCUUCCACUCAAAGAAAGCAGCUGAGCACCUCAUCAGAUGUGAGGGGCAGCCCCCAAACGUCUCUCUUAACAACUUCCUAUGGUACUUACAAUGGUCUCCUGGAGUCAAUGAGCUGCAUGGAGAGACUGGCCUCUGCAUCCAAGGCAGAUCUUUAAGCGGCAUCCUGGGAGAUCACCUUCACGCCAGUACUGAGAAUUUUGCAGAACAAAACAGAAGAUAUCUUGCCUGCCUGCCUCCAGACAUAUCCGAGGGGAUUAAUUUGUCACUCUUCAAAAACAACUCUUUGGAGGGAUACCCACUUUGAUUCUCUAUUCUCACAUUAAUUAGUAGUAGAAGGAACACCGCACACACUCUAGUACAGGAGAAAUUAGGAGAAAUAAAUCUGCCACCCUUCUCAAGGGAAAGAAACAAGGAGUGCUCAGUUCAGUGCCACCCAGAGCUGAGGGCAGCGGGGGCCAAAAUGACCCAAACUAGUCACCUGCUCCCCUCUCAACCUCCGCAAGGACAGUCAGGAAUCGUUAUUUGCCAGAGAAGCUCUGAAGAUUGUGUUUAGUAAAAAUAUUUUUUUAAGCCUAAGCCCCAAGGACAAAUGCUUUUGAAAAUAAAAUGAAGACAUAGUUGAUUUAUUUUAUUUUACUUUUUUAGUGAUCAUGGGGUAAGUUGAGUAUAUCGGAACCAAAUUCCAAAUCAGAAUUUGAGAUUAUUGUUGAGGUCAAACACUGAAUACUAUUUGUAUUUUUGACAAUUGCCUGAUUUAUUUUUUCUGAUCAAGAUCUUUAUCCGAAGGCAUCUUUGAUUCAGAUUUGUGUUUACUGUGAUGAAUAUUUUAAUAGAAUUUUUUCCAGUAAAGUU